rnacentral:rRNA from 1 species
CAGCAGCCGCGGUAAUACCGGCGGCCCGAGUGGCGGCCACUAUUAUUGGGCUUAAAGCGUCCGUAGCCGGGUUGGUUAGUCUCCCGGGAAAUCUGGCCGCUUAACGGUCAGAAUUCCGGGAGAUACUGCCAGCCUAGGGACCGGGAGAGGCCGAGGGUAUUCCCGGAGUAGGGGUGAAAUCCUAUAAUCCCGGGAGGACCACCUGUGGCGAAGGCGCUCGGCUGGAACGGGUCCGACGGUGAGGGACGAAGGCCAGGGGAGCAAACCGGAUUAGAUACCCGGGUAGUCCUGGCUGUAAACGAUGCGGACUUUGUGUCGGACAAGCUAAGGGCUUGUCCGGUGCCGCAGGGAAGCCGUUAAGUCCGCCGCCUGGGGAGUACGGCCGCAAGGCUGAAACUUAAAGGAAUUGGCGGG